rnacentral:rRNA from 1 species
UACGAAGGGGGCUAGCGUUGCUCGGAAUUACUGGGCGUAAAGCGUGCGCAGGCGGUUUUGUAAGCCAGAUGUGAAAUCCCCGGGCUUAACCUGGGAAUGGCAUUUGGGACUGCAAGGCUGGAGUUUGGCAGAGGAGACUGGAAUUCCUGGUGUAGCAGUGAAAUGCGUAGAUAUCAGGAGGAACACCGAUGGCGAAGGCAGGUCUCUGGGCUGAAACUGACGCUCAUGCACGAAAGCGUGGGGAGCAAACAGG